AUACUGUGGUUUCUCUUCAGAUUGUAUGAAUUGUUUGCCUUUUACUAAAGAUUUCCAUGGAGAGGAACAACUCUGAAUACCAUGCAGGACAUAGGCAUGGGCAAAGACUUCAUGU
ensembl:snRNA U5 U5 spliceosomal RNA